AGCAAUCUACACACAUACACUCACACACCCCGUCCCUUUCCCUCCUCGCAGAAGCCGAGGAGAUGCCAUGUGAGGGUGCAGCGAGGAGUUGGGCUGUCUAAAAGCAAAGAAAGAGAUUGCAUCAGACACCGCAUCUGCUGACACCUUGUUCUUGGACUUCCAGCUUCCAAAACCGCGAGAAAUAAAUGUCUGUGUCUAAACCCCAACCCUACCACCUCAACUGCCGUGUGUGGUGUUUUGUGAUGGCAGCCCCAGCUGACUGAGACACCUGGUUAGACCGGAAUAAGCAGUACCUGAGUCCCUUAAGAGUGGCCAAAGAAGAAAGAAUCCACUGAGUUGACAUUCCAGUUCAGCUGCAAUCGGUAGCAGUCACCAUUGAACAUCCUUGAAGCAAUUCUUCCAAAAUUACCUUGCAUCAAAGACUGCACAAGAACUGCUCUAAGCGGAAGGACUGAUGUCGGCAACCAGGGUUCCACCAGGGGCUGCAGACAGCCCUUGACCUUCAGAAGUAACCAAAUUUACUCACGUAGGCCAGGAAUUUCUAUGACGUGUUCCAAAUUCAGCCUCUCACUGAACACUUCCAGAGCAAGGCAACAUAAACAUCUGCAAGAAGAACAUUGUGUGAGAAAUAUCAAGUGAGAGUGGAAGAGUCUGCGGAGGGCCUCCCUGGGGCUCACCUGUGCUUUUGCCUGAGCUUCACCGUGUCAAGGAUGCAGCACUUUUUCCCUCUGGAGGAAGCAGCUUUCACCUUGGAAGAAUCUUGACCUUGCCAUUCAAAGUCACCAGACAGGGAAUCUGCCAGUGCCUUGAUCUUAGACUUCCCAGCUUCUGUAACUGUGAGCAAUAAAUGUAUGCUGCUUAUAAACUA
rnacentral:lncRNA from 1 species